rnacentral:rRNA from 1 species
ANACGCUGGCGGCGCGCCUAACACAUGCAAGUCGAACGAGCGAGAGAGAGCUUGCUUUCUCGAGCGAGUGGCGAACGGGUGAGUAACGCGUGAGGAACCUGCCUCAAAGAGGGGGACAACAGUUGGAAACAACUGCUAAUACCGCAUAAGCCCACGGUGCCGCAUGGCACAGAGGGAAAAGGAGCAAUCCGCUUUGAGAUGGCCUCGCGUCCGAUUAGCUAGUUGGUGAGGUAAUGGCCCACCAAGGCAACGAUCGGUAGCCGGACUGAGAGGUUGAACGGCCACAUUGGGACUGAGACACGGCCCAGACUCCUACGGGAGGCAGCAGUGGGGAAUAUUGCACAAUGGGGGAAACCCUGAUGCAGCGACGCCGCGUGGAGGAAGAAGGUCUUCGGAUUGUAAACUCCUGUUGUUGGGGAAGAUAAUGACGGUACCCAACAAGGAAGUGACGGCUAACUACGUG